rnacentral:rRNA from 1 species
UACAGAGGGGGCAAGCGUUGUUCGGAAUUACUGGGCGUAAAGGGCGCGUAGGCGCCUUCUAAGUCGAACGUGAAAUCCCCGGGCUCAACCCGGGAACUGCGUCCGAUACUGGAAGGCUUGAAUCCGGGAGAGGGAUGUGGAAUUCCAGGUGUAGCGGUGAAAUGCGUAGAUAUCUGGAGGAACACCGGUGGCGAAGGCGACAUCCUGGACCGGUAUUGACGCUGACGGCGCGGAAAGCCAGGGGAGCAAACGGG